GAUGAAGAACGCAGUGAAAUGCGAUAAGUAAUGUGAAUUGCAGAAUUCAGUGAAUCAUCGAAUCUUUGAACGCACCUUGCGCCCUUUGGCUAUUCCGAAGGGCAUGCCUGUUUGAGUAUCAUGAACACCUCAACUCUCAUGGUUUGCCAUGAUGAGCUUGGACUCUGGGGGUCUUGCUGGCCUAUGGUCAGCUCCUCUCAAAUAAAUCAGCUUGCCAGUGUUUGGUGGCAUCACAGGUGUGAUAACUAUCUACGCUUGUGGUUUUCCAUCAGGUAACCUUCAGUGAUGGAGGUUCGCUGGAGCUCAUAAAUGUCCCUCCUCAGCGAGGACAGCUUUUUGAACGUUUGAUCUCAAAUCAAGUAGGACUACCCGCUGAACUUAAGCAUAUCAAUAAGCGGAGGA
rnacentral:misc_RNA from 1 species